GAGGUAUCAGAUGGGCAUGCGUCCUAUUAGCUAGUUGGGGGGGUAACGGCCCACCAAGGCAAUGAUAGGUAGGGGUUCUGAGAGGAAGGUCCCCCACAUUGGAACUGAGACACGGUCCAAACUCCUACGGGAGGCAGCAGUGAGGAAUAUUGGUCAAUGGGCGCAGGCCUGAACCAGCCAAGUCGCGUGAGGGAAGACUGCCCUAUGGGUUGUAAACCUCUUUUAUAAGGGAAGAAUAAUGACUACGUGUAGUCAGAUGCCCGUACCUUAUGAAUAAGCAUCGGCUAACUCCGUGCCAGCAGCCGCGGUAAUACGGAGGAUGCGAGCGUUAUCCGGAUUUAUUGGGUUUAAAGGGUGCGUAGGCGGUAUUUUAAGUUAGUGGUAAAACGUCGGGGCUUCACCUUGAUUGGCCAUUAAAACUGGAGUACUAGAGUACAGACGAGGUAGGCGGAAUAAGUUAAGUAGCGGUGAAAUGCUUAGAUAUAACUUAGAACCCCGAUAGCGAAGGCAGCUUACCAGACUGUUACUGACGCUGAAGCACGAGAGCGUGGGUAGCGAACAGGAUUAGAUACCCUGGUAGUCCACGCCGUAAACGAUGCUCACUGGUUCUGUGCGAUAUACAGUAC
rnacentral:rRNA from 1 species